CAACUCGGCUGCAUGAAGCUGGAAUCGCUAGUAAUCGCGGAUCAGAAUGCCGCGGUGAAUACGUUCCCGGGUCUUGUACACACCGCCCGUCACACCAUGGGAGUCGGGAAUGCCCGAAGUCAGUGACCCAACCGAAAGGGGGGAGCUGCCGAAGGCAGGCCUGGUAACUGGGGUGAAGUCGUAACAAGGUAAC
rnacentral:rRNA from 1 species